AUCCAAACAAUUUAUCAGCAAUAUUAAAGGAACAAUAGCAAGGCCAGCAACAUUAGUUAGCUAAAUGGUAUCAACAACUCCAGCAAGGGCAACAUCAGCAACAGUAACGUGGGCAAGAGCAACAUAAGCAACAUCAGUAACAGCAGGAAUAGGAACAAUAGCAGCAUUAACAGAAACUGCAGCUUCAGCAGCAAAGUAAUAGUGCCAACAGUAGCAACAGCAACAUAAGAAACAAAAGCAACAUAAACAGCUUCAACUGUAAUAUCAACAUUAAACAGCCCUAGCAGCAUCAGCAACAUUAAGAACAACAUUAAGAACCACAUUACGCAGCAAUACUACAGCCACAAGACAAUACCAAUGCUUUAAUAGACUAACAAAGUAACAACAGCAACACAUAAAAUGAAAACCAACAACACUUUUAAAUAACAUUAUGGCCAAACAGCAGCAACAAUAGUUGCUACAAUAACAGCAGAUACAAUAGUUGCUACCAUAACAGCAGCAACAUUGUGUCUAAGUAGUAGCCCUCUUUUGGCAGUGUCUGUACACUGAGAAAACUGUGGCUAAUUCAUUUGUAAAAAAACGAAAUAUAUUUCUAUUGAGCAAGUGUAACAAUUAACCUGCUCAAUUCCAUUUAGUUUUUUCGAUUUAUAUUUUACUAGUGCACCCAUCAGUCGCAUUAUUGUUGGGUACGCGGCUAGAAUUUAUCAUUAGUUUACUCGAUGUACAAGCAUACAAAAACUAUAUUUGUAUAUGGGAUUAUAUGCCAAAUAGAUUAACAAUUGUAAUCGCUGUUGUUGUAGCUGCUGCUGUUGUUGAUUUUGCCAAGCGAAUCGAAACACAACGAGCAAAACAAUAAGCUAACAGCAACUGUAGAGGCAGCGACAACGGACAACUCGGGUGUUGAUGUGUUUUCGAAAACAUUGCGUCAUUUCCAGAUGGCAAGCUUUAAGCCAAUUGCUCCCCCCCAGCACAGCACAGUACCCCAUCAUUCCCCCACAACCACGCCCCUGUGCAGCGAAAACACAGAGACCAAGUGGCAGACGAUCGAGUUGAGUUCGUAGAAAAACUGCGCCAAUUCUACGAACUGAACUUGGGGAUGUCGACGCGUCUAUCGGAAGGCAGCUGGCAGUGUGGAUACUGACACGUACACACAUAUGUACACACACACAUGCACAUAGUAUUCGUGCGGGGGGAAGGGGAAAGGGGUGGUGUGUGUGCCUGAACAUGAUUGAUAUUUGCCUGCCAUGAUUACUCGUAGUCACAGCCCGUCAAAAGUGGUGAUAAAACGACAAACACAGCUCGAGAUACUUAUCGUGUCGCGAAGGAAAUUACACAAAAGUUGUCGGCUGCAACUUACAGGAUCACACCUUUCUAUUAUCACAGUCUGAUUAUUGAUUCUUUAGCAAGUUUGGAUUGGUUUGCACUUGCCACUUUUGGUUGAACCUAUAAAAUACUUAUUAAUGCUUAAAAUGUUUAUAGACUAGUAGCAUGGCAUAUCUAUGCCACAUCCGCAAGUGGAACCUUUGGAACGAGCUACGAAGUGGAUGAGCUGAGCGUAAUCUGCAUUUGCAGACAGUUGGGCGACUUCUUGGAGCUGCAGCAGAAUGUUUUCCUGCGCUGGGGGAGAUAACUUACCACUGAAUGCUGAAUUGCUGUGGGGUAGGGCCAGUUGAAAGAUGAUGAUUAGAAACGACCUUAAAUAACCUAUGGAUUGUAUAGAGGAGCGCUGGUAUAGUAUCGUCUGGAAAGUGUGUUUGCCUUCGAAACGAAACUGAUUCGAGUGCAAAUAUUUACCAUGUGUUUGAGCUUUUCUUUGAUCACCUAAAAGCAGUAGGUGGUUGCUUUUCUUUUGGAGGCGGAUACCUACGUCAAUGCGGGAUCAAUGGGCUUAAGCACUGCCAUUGUAUUGCUCCAUUUAUCACUUUUAACACCAUAUAGUGCAAACAGACUGUUUGAGUUAUAAAAGGAACUAAUUUAUCACUUAUCGCUGUUCAAUGGGAAAAUGAAUACAGCGCAAAUACGAGCGAAAACCUGCGGCUUUUCACAAAUAUCACAAAGUACAUUUGCUCAUCACAAAUAAUAAAAUAAUCAAAUUCAAACAAAUUCAAUAAAAUUCAGUUAAUAGUCAAUAGUACGAUAAAGAUUCGUCAUUUGCCUAGCUGUGCAGUCAUGGACUAUUUAUAUUUAGCAGAAAUUUAAGUGUUGUUAAUUGUGAAUUAAUAACUAUUUAUCUAUUAGAUGUGAAAAACGAGUAUUCCAUUUGCGUCAUCGGUACCCAUCGGUACAUUCGCCCAAUUGCGUUAAUGAUUAAAAUCCAACCUUAGAGAGCCAUUAAAAAUUAGUAAAAUCAAACAAAGAUCGGAAGUCCAUUCCAUCAAGAACUAUCAACAAUAAUCACUUUUUCAAAGAACCAUUUGGAUAUUAUCAUUUAUUCAAGGCAAUAAUAGCGCAGCGUAAACAAAAUGCCCUAAAAAAGUGAAAAUUUGCUUAGGGCAAUCCAUAAAAGAUAAAUUAGUUAUUAUCUUCUUUUUUUUUGUUUUUGUAUAUUUUUGAAUUGUUUAUUUAGCAAUUAAUGUUUGCUUUGUGGCCCCUCCUUUAAAUUGCCUAGUUCUUUGAUACAGUUGAGAGCGUUUGUGAUUUAUGGACGAGACCCUCGACGCGCAUGCGAGUGUAAAUGUGAGUGUGGAUGUGAAUACGACUAUGAAUAUGAAUAAUCGCACCGAAGGCGAACAACAAGCCUCAUUGUUCUGGGCGGUAGUUGCUCAAUAGGUCUGACAGUCGGCAAUACAAUUAGGCAAUACUCACAACACAAUCGAACCCUUUUACAUGAUGGACUUGCCAAGGAACUUGGAUCGUCAGAACUUAUACAUUACCCCAAUUUGUUGGUUUAUAAACAAAUAGAUUUCGUCCUCUUACUAUAUUAAUUUAUCUGUUAUUUAUUAACCAAUGCCAUGUAAAAAAUCAUCAAAUUGAUCAACACAGAGCACCCAUUACUCUAUGAAUAAAAUUUCAUUUUAAUGAAAAAUCCCAGGAGUGAUAAAUAAAAUUCCUUUGUGUCAUUUUCAAAAUGAAAUUCAACAUUUCUGCAUUUUUAUUUGGAGCUCUUCGCUCGAUUCAAAUUAGUUAUGCAUAACAAAAAUUAAGAUUUGCACAUUUCAUGUUUCAUUGUUUUCUCCUUUCCAUUUCGCUUAUUUUGUUUUUUUUUUUCGACUAUUUACAGUAUUAAGUUUAUACAUAUGGAUUUGCAUAUGCGAUAAAAAGUUAAUUAAAUUUACAUGUUGUUACGGCUUCAUUUAUUUGCAUUACAUGUAGACACUUUUGCAAUCAAUUCGCGUUUGUUUGCUCUUUCCCUUUUAUGCAUAAGAUAACAAGGCUUAAUUGACUAAAAAAAAUAAAGGCACCUGAGUUCAAAGUGUUAUUGCCAAAUGUAAAUAUAAUAAAA